AUGAUCACAGAUAACAGUUUUGAUGUACUCUGCUUGACUGAAACCUGGCUAAAACCAAAUGAUUAUAUUGGUCUAAAUGAGUCUACGCCACCAAACUACUGUUAUAAGCAUGAGCCCCGUCAGACUGGUCGUGGGGGAGGUGUUGCAACAAUAUAUAGUGAUUUUCUCAAUGUUACCCAGAAAACAGGAUACAGGUUUAAAUCAUUCGAAAUACUUCUGCUAAAUGUUACACUGUCAGAUAUGCAAAAGAAAUCUAUCACAUCUCUUGCUCUGGCUACUGUGUAUAGACCACCAGGGCCGUAUACAGAAUUCCUAAAAGAAUUUGGAGAUUUCUUCUCAGACCUGUUGGUAACAGUUGAUAAAGUGCUAAUUUUUGGAGAUUUUAAUUUUCACGUUGAUAAUACAAAUGAUGCAUUAGGACUUGCGUUUACUGAUUUAAUAAACUGUUUUGGAGUAAAGCAAAAUGUCACUGAGCCCACUCAUCGUAUUAAUCAUAUGCUAGAUUUAAUUAUAUUGCAUGGAAUCGGUCUUACUGAUAUAGAUAUUGUACCUCAAAGUGAUGAUGUUACUGACCAUUUCCUUGUAUCGUGCAUUCUGCAUAUUAAUGAUAUUAACUAUAUGGCUUUGCAUUAUCGUCCAGGCAAAACUAUGUUUCCAGCCACCAAAGACAGAUUCACAAAUAACCUGCCUGAUUUAUCUCAACUGCUCUGUGUACCCAUAAAUACACAGGAACUAGACAAAAUGACUGGCAACAUGGGCACUAUCUUCUAUAAUAUGUUAGAAGCUGUUGCCCCCAUCAAAUUGAAAAAGGUUAGAGAAAAACGUACUGUGCCAUGGUACAAUAGUAAUACCCACUCUCUCAAGAAAGAAAUUUGUAGUCUUGAGCACAAAUGGAGAAAAACUAACUUGGAAGUUUUUAGAAUUGCGUGGAAAAACAGUAUGUCCAGCUAUAGACAGGCUCUAAAAACUGCCAGGGCUGAGCAUAUCCACAAACUCAUAGAAAAUAACCAAAACAAUCCAAGGUUUUUAUUUAGCACAGUGGCUAGAUUAACAAAUAACCAGAGGCCACUCGAUCUAAAUAUUCCCUCACAGUUAAAUAGUAAUGACUUUAUGUAG
rnacentral:lncRNA from 1 species